AACGAACGCUGGCGGCAUGCCUAACACAUGCAAGUCGAGCGCUCGUAGCAAUACGAGAGCGGCAGACGGGAGAGUAACACGUGGGAACGUGCCCAUCAGUUCGGAACAACCCAGGGAAACUUGGGCUAAUACCGGAUACGCCCUUACGGGGAAAGAUUUAUCGCUGAUGGAGCGGCCCGCGUCUGAUUAGCUAGUUGGUGAGGUAACGGCUCACCAAGGCGACGAUCAGUAGCUGGUCUGAGAGGAUGAUCAGCCUCAUUGGGACUGAGACACGGCCCAAACUCCUACGGGAGGCAGCAGUGGGGAAUAUUGGACAAUGGGCGCAAGCCUGAUCCAGCCAUGCCGCGUGGGUGAUGAAGGCCCUAGGGUUGUAAAGCCCUUUCGGCGGGGAAGAUAAUGACGGUACCCGCAGAAGAAGCCCCGGCUAACUUCGUGCCAGCAGCCGCUGUAAC
rnacentral:rRNA from 1 species